rnacentral:rRNA from 1 species
CCUACGGGAGGCAGCAGUGAGGAAUAUUGGUCAAUGGCCGGAAGUCUGAACCAGCCAAGCCGCGUGAGGGAGGAAGGCGCAGAGCGUCGCAGACCUCUUUUGCCGGGGGACAAACGGCCGGACUCGUCCGGUCCUGAGUGUACCCGGAGAAAAAGCAUCGGCUAACUCCGUGCCAGCAGCCGCGGUAAUACGGAGGAUGCGAGCGUUAUCCGGAUUCAGUGGGUUUAAAGGGUGAGCAGGCGGGCCUUUAAGCCGGCGGGGAAACCGCGGGGCUCAACCCCGCAGAGCCGUCGGAACUGGGGGCCUUGAGUGCGGCGGAGGCGGGCGGAAUGCGCGGUGUAGCGGUGAAAUGCAUAGAUAUCGCGCAGAACCCCGAUUGCGAAGGCAGCGUGCCGUGCCGCCACUGACGCUGAGGCACGAAAGCGCGGGGAUCGAACAGGAUUAGAUACCCGAGUAGUC